UGCCAGCCGCCGCGGUAAUACGGAGGGUGCAAGCGUUAAUCGGAAUUACUGGGCGUAAAGCGCGCGUAGGCGGUUUGUUAAGUCGGAUGUGAAAGCCCCGGGCUCAACCUGGGAACUGCAUUCGAUACUGGCAGGCUAGAGUACGGUAGAGGGGGGUAGAAUUCCAUGUGUAGCGGUGAAAUGCGUAGAGAUGUGGAGGAAUACCAGUGGCGAAGGCGGCCCCCUGGAUCGAUACUGACGCUGAGGUGCGAAAGCGUGGGGAGCAAACAGGAUUAGAUA
rnacentral:rRNA from 1 species